rnacentral:rRNA from 1 species
UUUAUCGGAGAGUUUGAUCCUGGCUCAGGACGAACGCUGGCGGCGUGCCUAAUACAUGCAAGUCGAGCGGACAGAUGGGAGCUUGCUCCCUGAUGUUAGCGGCGGACGGGUGAGUAACACGUGGGUAACCUGCCUGUAAGACUGGGAUAACUCCGGGAAACCGGGGCUAAUACCGGAUGGUUGUUUGAACCGCAUGGUUCAGACAUAAAAGGUGGCUUCGGCUACCACUUACAGAUGGACCCGCGGCGCAUUAGCUAGUUGGUGAGGUAACGGCUCACCAAGGCAACGAUGCGUAGCCGACCUGAGAGGGUGAUCGGCCACACUGGACUGAGACACGGCCCAGACUCUACGGAGCAGCAGUAGGGAAUCUUCCGCAAUUGGACGAAAGUCUGACGGAGCAACGCCGCGUGAGUGAUGAAGGUUUUCGGAUCGUAAAGCCUGUUGUUAGGGAAGAACAAGUGCCGUUCAAAUAGGGCGGCACCUUGACGGUACCUAACCAGAAAGCCACGGCUAACUACGUGCCAGCAGCCGCGGUAAUACGUAGGUGGCAAGCGUUGUCCGGAAUUAUGGGCGUAAAGGGCUCGCAGGCGGUUUCUUAAGUCUGAUGUGAAAGCCCCCGGCUCAACCGGGGAGGGUCAUUGGAAACUGGGGAACUUGAGUGCAGAAGAGGAGAGUGGAAUUCCACGUUUGUAGCGGUGAAAUGCGUAGAGAUGUGGAGGAACACCAGUGGCGAAGGCGACUCUCUGGUCUGUAACUGACGCUGAGGAGCGAAAGCGUGGGGAGCGAACAGGAUUAGAUACCCUGGUAGUCCACGCCGUAAACGAUGAGUGCUAAGUGUUAGGGGGUUUCCGCCCCUUAGUGCUGCAGCUAACGCAUUAAGCACUCCGCCUGGGGAGUACGGUCGCAAGACUGAAACUCAAAGGAAUUGACGGGGGCCCGCACAAGCGGUGGAGCAUGUGGUUUAAUUCGAAGCAACGCGAAGAACCUUACCAGGUCUUGACAUCCUCUGACAAUCCUAGAGAUAGGACGUCCCCUUCGGGGGCAGAGUGACAGGUGGUGCAUGGUUGUCGUCAGCUCGUGUCGUGAGAUGUUGGGUUAAGUCCCGCAACGAGCGCAACCCUUGAUCUUAGUUGCCAGCAUUCAGUUGGGCACUCUAAGGUGACUGCCGGUGACAAACCGGAGGAAGGUGGGGAUGACGUCAAAUCAUCAUGCCCCUUAUGACCUGGGCUACACACGUGCUACAAUGGACAGAACAAAGGGCAGCGAAACCGCGAGGUUAAGCCAAUCCCACAAAUCUGUUCUCAGUUCGGAUCGCAGUCUGCAACUCGACUGCGUGAAGCUGGAAUCGCUAGUAAUCGCGGAUCAGCAUGCCGCGGUGAAUACGUUCCCGGGCCUUGUACACACCGCCCGUCACACCACGAGAGUUUGUAACACCCGAAGUCGGUGAGGUAACCUUUUUGGAGCCAGCCGCCGAAGGUGGGACAGAUGAUUGGGGUGAAGUCGUAACAAGGUAGCCGUUAUCGGAAGGUGCGGCUGGAUCACCUCCUUUCU